UACAGAGGGUGCAAGCGUUAUUCGUAAUUAUUGGGCGUAAAGCGUGCGUAGGUGGUGAGAUAAGUCCUGUGUGAAAGCCUCGGGCUCAACCCGAGAGGGUCAUGGGAAACUGUCUUGCUAGAGGACAAGAGAGGAGAGCGGAAUUCCCAGUGUAGUGGUGAAAUACGUAGAUAUUCGGAGGAACACCAGUGGCGAAGGCGGCUCACUGGUCCAUUACUGACGCUCAGGCACGAAAGCGUGGGGAGCAAACAGG
rnacentral:rRNA from 1 species